rnacentral:rRNA from 1 species
GACAGAGGUGCCGAGCGUUAGGCGGAAUCACUGGGCUUAAAGCGUGUGUAGGCGGGUCCGUAAGUACCUUGUGAAAUCCCACGGCUCAACCGUGGAACUGCUGGGUAUACUGCGGGUCUUGAGCCACUUAGGGGCAAGCGGAACAAACGGUGGAGCGGUGAAAUGCGUAGAUAUCGUUUGGAACGCCAAUGGUGAAAACAGCUUGCUGGGAGUGUGCUGACGCUGAGACACGAAAGCCAGGGGAGCGAACGGG